AGAACAUAUCACAAUUCCUUCAGCUCAUUCCUCUGGCUGAAAGCUCAGGCCAUGUGUUGAAAACGUCUCCAGGGAGAUGCCAUUCAAACUAUGCUGUUCUGCUCCCCACCCACACUAUCCUCAACUCUUAUCAAGAAGAACUAUGAAGAGCCUAGGACUUAAGCAAAACAUCUGUAGUCCUAGAUCAGUGAGGAGGAAGGUGAGAGCUGCAUUCUUGCCCUGUGGAGGUGAGGUCCAUUGGAGGAGAGAUCUGCUGCUCGAUUGAUGAAUCCAUCUGCAGUGCCUAAACCAAAGUGAAACAGAGUCACAUGAGGCGGAAUGAACAAGGAGUGAACACGGAGGCCUAGUCAUAGGCAACAAUGACUCAGACCUAGAGGACCCAAUUUACCCACCCGCUAGCUCUGAGACAAAUACUCAUUCUUCUCCAUAUUCACAACUAUUUCGGCACAUAACUUCACAUUCUGAGAACUUGGUUUACCACUUCUCAAAAGUGCCAUGAGUUGUGUUGUAUAGUAUAAGAAUAUGGACCAAGAACAAAUCUUGUUUUUGAUUAGGAUACAGGUUCAUACCGUUCCCACACGUGAAGAGUGAGAACAACAUGAGUAAGAUAUUGGUACAGAGCCAAUAUUGGGCCUUCUUCAGCUCUUAAAGGGAAAAAAUAACCCUUGUGGUCAACCAAACUACAAAUAUUUGCCUGGCGCGGUUUGCUGUAGUCAUCACAAUUCUUUGGUGGCAAAUGUAGUUGCUUUUUCCUUUUAGGUUCUAGAUAACAAUUGUUUUUAAAGAGUGCACCACAAAUCAUGUCGUCACAAAGCUGAUUGGGGGAACAAGGGCCAGUGUGACAGAGGUUUGCUGUAGUCAUCACAAUUCUUUGGUGGCAAAUGAAGCCUUGUUUUUUCCAUUUGCUAUUGACGAUAAGACACACAUCUUUAUCUCAUCCUCAAAUAUGAUAGAUAACAUUUCCAUAACACAAUGAAAUAGGACAAACCUGAGUAAACCUGAGGAGCAAUUGGUUAUACAUCACAAGGCAGGCACCUGAUUGGUAGAUUUAUAAGUAGCGUCAUAAAUAACGACAUCAUACGAUAUCGUCUGAUUGGUGGAAUAAUGGCCAGUGUGAGUCCCUGGUUUACAGCCUUACCCCUAGGCGUGUGUUGUGCCAUGAGACAGGACUGAUUUAUGGAGCUGUCUUUGAUUGGGCAAGUCUCUAAGCUGGUGAAACAGGUUAUACUGUCCCACAGCAGGGACAGAACACAUCAGAGUUUUACCUGGAAGUCCGGGUGGGGCACAGGUAGGGACGAGGCCCCACAUGACACAAAAUCCACAGGACAACAAUGAAUCACCUGUCAAAAUGUCCCAGUGAUAUUCGAUCUAGAGUACUCAACCUAAGCAUGAUGAAACCAUGCAGAUUACUACAUUGUUCCAAUGGAAAAGUUCACAAAUUUGCAAAGUAGUUUCUUUAUGUCAUGUGUCACAAUUCAUCGUCCCUCAACAAUAGUGGGAGAAGCAUUCCUUGUCAUACUAUUUUCAAAUAUUGAACUCUGUGACUGAGUUAAAAUAGCUGUCAAGACCUAGUACACCCUAUUGAACCACUCGCACAUUUCAGGUCAGGAUAGUGAAUGGUGGGGAUGCGGCAGAGGCUUCAUACAGGUAAUAACACACAGACAAACACGCACGAGCACAAACAACUGACCUUUACGCUGGUAAUGUUCUCUCAGUAACAAAAAUAAAUAAAUCCAUUAAAUAAUUAUGUCAGCAUUACUACCAUUCCUGGAAAGAAUGAAUCUACUUAUACUCCAGUGACUUGCAUUUUGAAGCCAACCUGUUCACAUUAAUUCUUGCCUCAAGGCCCCUUUACACAAGGCAACAAAUGAUUGCAUGGAAAUGUUGAAUAGUAAGGUCAAGUGGACUAAAUGACUAAAGUUCUGUCUUUUUGUUGGGUGACCGUGGUUU
rnacentral:lncRNA from 8 species